rnacentral:rRNA from 1 species
UACGGAGGGGACUAGCGUUGUUCGGAAUUACUGGGCGUAAAGGGCGCGUAGGCGGGCUGCGGCGUCCGGGGUGAAAUCCUCCCGCCCAACGGGAGAACGGCCUCGGAUACGGGCGGCCUGGAGGGGGGUAGGGGCGGGCGGAACUGUGGGUGGAGCGGUGAAAUGCGUUGAGAUCCACAGGAACUCCGGUGGCGAAGGCGGCCCGCUGGACCCCACCUGACGCUGAGGCGCGAAAGCCAGGGGAGCGAACGGG